rnacentral:lncRNA from 1 species
ACACUCUUUGGCUCUGGGUGUUUGGGCUUUGUCCUCGCAAGGAUUUCUCUCUCUCAAAUGCUUCGAGGUGGGUUGCUCUCAAACGACAAAAGCCGUGCACAAACUCUGAGCAGCCACCAAUUUAUGGUGUAGGGGGUGGGCUAUUUAUAGCCACAAGGCAACCCGACCUGAUUUAUCCAAAAUGACCCUGGGUCACUAAGGAACUGACACGUGUUCCAACGGUCAGAUUUCAAACACACGCGGCAACUUUACUUGGGCUACAAGCAAAGCUGACUCAUCCAGCUCUGGAUAAGAUUUGGUCUAAUUGUCUUCGCUCGAAGACAUAGGAUUUGGUUGAGCAUCACUUCAGUCACUCUGACUUAGUUCACUUGGACCCCACUUAACAGUACCAUGGUUCCUAUGACUCAACAAAGAAGAAAAGGAAACAAUGAAACCACACAGUCUUCGCGCUCCAUAGUCUUCACAUAAUGUCUUCUCAUGUCAUAGUCUUCAAUAUGAAUAUCUUCUCAUACCACCAUUGUCUUCAAUGUCUUCAUACAUUUUUAGGGGUCAUCUCCGGUAGGUAAACCGAAUCAAUGAGGGACACUACCUGCGUUAUCCUGCAAUUCUCACAAACACAUUAGUCCCUCAACCAACUUUGUCGUCAAUACUCCAAAACCAACUAGGGGUGGCACUAGAUGCACUUACAAUCUCCCCCUUUUUGGUGAUUGAUGACAAACUGGUUGAAGUUUUCAACGGGGAUAAAGUAUGUGAAAUUGUAAGGAUAGGGAAUUGUCUUCAUAAGUAGCAAGGGCUCCCCCUGAAGGUGUGCAUAUAAGUAAUUUGCUUUUGGAAUGCAAAUGCACAUGGUAGGUUGUACUUGUGGAGAUCCUCUUCAACUUAUGAAGAUAAUUCAUCAUGCAUGAAAUGAUAUAGCAAGUAGAAUGACAUGCAUAAUGAAAAAUGGACGUCUGCAGAAUGAUCUAAGUGCAGAAGUUAUCAUCGCACAUGCGGAAUUUAUCAUCGCAUCACAGUAAAGCAAAUAAGUAGCAGACGACCAUCAAGUUUAGGUGUUACAACUCAAAGAACCAAAUGUUUCAAAAGCAAGAGUUGUAAGCACGAGGCAAAAUAUAAUGCAACCGCCCAUAUGAACCCGCUUGAAGACUAUCAACUCAUACGCUUCUCCCCCUUUUGUCAGUAAGGACCAAAAAGGUUUGAAGACAUAGAGCAUCUACUCGUCCUCAUGAGUAGGUGAAGCAGCAGGGUUGUCGUCGUUGGUUGGCGGUGCAGACGAACUUGGUGCAGUGUCGAUGCGUGCAGUAGUAGGAGGUGGUGAAGUAGCAUCAUCUUCAUCAUCGAUCACUCUGGCAUUUACCGUUUCCGCGGAGGAAGAAUAUUCAGAGUCUUCAAGAGAUGGAGUGCGACGUAGGACAGCAGUCCGUGGAGGAGUGGAGUCAAACUGGAAUCUUUCAUUGAAGCCAUCGUCUUGAAGAUCUGCAUCAGCACUAAGCAGCGUCAAACUCUUCCAUGAUCGCCUGCAAGUCUCAUGAGCAACAAAGGCAUUCUUGGUGGCAAGGUUACGAAUGUGAUUGACAUCCACCAAGAGGCUUUGCAUCUGUCUCUUGAGCCAAUAGUGAUGCUUAUCCUGUUUCUGAUGAAGGGCCACAAGGAGUUCUCGGUCAUUGAGAACGCGAGAACGCUUCCGAGGCCUUUGUGCAAUGGUGCUUUCAGUGGCUUCAGUAGGUGCUCAAUGAGGCAGACGAGUAUUUCCAGCCAACGGAUAGAUUCGUGUUGCUGCUUGAACACCUUCAAUGGGUUGAGUGAAGCUUUGGUGCUCGGCAUUCUGAAGACAAAGAGGCUUCUUGGUAGGGUCAGAGUAUAUGGCUUCAACUGACAUAUCAACCUCUGGAAAAAAGAUCAGAUGAUUGCGAGUAGAGGGCUGAUAGUUGACAGAUGAGUGUCUCUUGAUGAGGCGCAUGACCCAUGGAGCAUAAAACUUCAGACCAAAUAGGUCAGAUCUAGAAGCAGCAAGUUGCCUGAUGAAGAAUUCUUGAGUAUUGAAGCUGAUGCCAUUGAGAAUAUAGAAGACCAAAGUCUUCAUAGCUCCUUCAAGCUUGGCCGCCGAUGAAUGUCCUUUGAUAGGCCAUAGAGUUUGCCUAAUGAUAUGAUAUAUGGUGCGAGGCAGAUACUCAAGGUCUUCAACAAAGAACUCUGUUGGAUAUUUAGCGUCAGAUGGCAAAGGCUUCAUCAUGCUCAACAUCUGGCUCAUAUUGGGUUCUGGCUUAUGGAAGAUGCUCUCUAAUGCAUUGAAGUGUAGCUGACAAUCAGGUUCAUAUAGCUCUCUAGGAGUGGCUAGCCCUGUAAGCUCGAUGAUGUCAAGAGCUUUGGCUUCAUGAUGAACAUUUCCGGUCAUCCACUCGAGGACCCAUGUCUUGAUAUCUCUGUAGUAGCCGCGAAUGUGUAGAGUAGCAUAGAAUUGAAGCAAUAGCUCUUCAUUCCAGUGUUCUUUGUCUGUCACAAAGUUAAGCAGACCAGCAUCACGAAAGCAAUCAAGUGCUUCUUCUAAGCACGGCAGUCCAGCAAUGGCUUCAGUGUCAAGGCACAUAUGAGGGAAAAUGCGUCCUUGAUCAUAUAGAACGCAGGAGUAAUAGCUUCUUUGAUGAUAGCUCCAGAACCGAUCUGAUGAUAUCCUUGGCUUGGAGUAGGGGUUCUUGGCGCUAUCAAAGAAGGUAUUGUGGCUUUUGAAGCCAUUUGCAUUGAAGGACCCUGGUGAGUUUGCAGUACCUGGAAACCUUGGCAGUCUUGGCUUGGGCUUCUGGACCUGAGGCCUAUGCUCUACAUGAUAAUCAAAUUGAGGUCCAGAGGCAGUAGGCAGAGGUACCAGAAUGGGCCAUCGGACAGUGGUUAGCUGACCAUGAUUGUAUGCUUGCUCAAUUGUAUGGGGCCUUGGUGGCGGAAUAGGAGCAGGGGAAACAACUGAGGCUUUAGGCUGCACAACAGGUGCUUCGGGAGCAGUUCUCUCAUUAGCUUCAGGUGUAGUGGCCUCAUUGGCUUCAGGCACAGUGGCCUCAUUGGUUUCAGGCACACUGGUUGGUGCAGGCUCCACAUUAGCAUCAGCCAUGACUACGUCAUUGGCUUCAUUGGCGUUGGUGGUGGUAGCUUCAACAUUUUCAACCUCCUCUUGAUGAACAGGAGGGUCGGGCACUGGCAUGUUCACAUCAGGAACAACUUCUUCAAUCACUGGGGGAGUAGGGACACGUACGUGUUCUUGAUUUUCCUCGGCUGAUGCAGCCGGAAUGUCUUCAGCAACUUGUGCUUCAGAGUCGGAGACAUUCACAGUUGGAGUGGGUUCAGAAAAGACUUGACGUGCAACAGGUGGACGUUGCACUUCUCAUUCUGGAACGCUCGACAGAGGGACUUGAGGCCUUUGUCCUUUGCGAAGCCUGCGAAAUGCACGCAACGCCUUAGGAGAUGGAGUUGGCUGGGCCUCAAAGUCUUCAUCUUCUUCUUGCACGGGAGGUGUAGCUUGUUGUUGUUGUUGGGGAGUACUGGGGGAGUCUUGUUGCUAUGGGUGAUCAGCCCACGAUGCAUCCUGAGCAAUUGGCGUUAGAGGACGACCAAUGCUGAUGAGUUCACUGUUCGUAAGAAUAGGCGAUGAUACCACAUUGUGUUCAAUCUGAGGAAGAACUUCAUCAUCUUUAACAUUGUCAUCAUGACAAAUGUCUUCAGCAGCGGUGGGUUCAGCUGCUGGAAUAUCUUCAGCUUCAUGAGCCUCUGUGGGAGCAGGCUCAUGGACUAUCAUCCUUCUUUCUUGAUGUUCCGACGCAGGGCAAACCACUGAAAUGGGUGCAACAACUAAGGGCUCUGUGGGAGCAGCCCUACUUUUCUUGGUCUUGCGCUUCUUCUUGGAGGGAGCGGCAUCAGAGGCUUCAGUAUUCUUUCUCUUUCUGGCUUCAGCCUCGGCAGCCCUCGUCUUCUUCUAUUCUGAAGCGGUUGUGGUGACCUUUGGCUUCGAGCCUAUCAUGCUGCUUGGGAAGAUAAUGCGAGGGGCUUCUUGGCUUGAAGGUGCAGGCUGGUCAGCAGGAAGCUUCUUCUUUUUCUUCGCAACCAUCCUGGGGUCAAUGCCAGGACGGCCAAGUGACUUGCGCUUCUCAGCCUCAUUGUAGGCAAGCACACACUUAUCAGCCAAACUCUUCAUGCGCUCUCGAGAGCCCUGAGCUUCUUGGCGCUUCUUGAGAAAAGCUUCUUUAAGCUCAUGCAGCAUGACCUUGAAGUUUCUGACGUCUUGAACACUGAGCUUCGCCACAUGCUUCUUGAACUGAGCCUUCUCAUAAUCAAUUUUGUUCUUCAGCUCAACGAUGCGCUGAGCGAGAGCUAGCUCGGAAGCAAUGGCGCCAUUAAAAGAGAUGCUGAGGCCAAUGGGAAGUUGUAAAUCUUCAAAGCUGAUAUUGGGGGUGUCGAACCACUCAUCAAUGAAGUUGUGGAUGAUUGCCACAUCAAAGAGAGGCAAGUUGUUGAAGAUUUCUGCUUCUUCCUUGCUCUUUAUCAGCUGCUCAAGGGCAUCAUCAGCAAGAUCUUCAUCACUGGACAGAUCAAUGGGUUCUUCGCGCAGAAUGGCGGCAGGAGUCAAGGCUUGAUCAGUAUGCCUGACAAUUUGCUUUUUCUUCUCCAUUCUCUUGGAGACACGGGAUUGAUCUUCAGACUGCACACUGUCUUCAGGAGGUGCAGUGGCCAGUGGCUUCGCACGAGAAGUUUUUGGAGGUGCUGAUUUAGAAGCCUUUUGCUUCUUUUGCCUCUGCGGCUUUGGAGGAGGAGCCGGGGCUUCAUCGGAGUCAGCAUCGUUGUCAGAAUGAUCCACUCUGGCACCCUGGACCAAGAUGUAGGUGAUGAGGCCAUCGAGAUUGGAGAAGGGGCCGAUGACAUUGGGUUCAGCAUCACGGGAGCCGUCAGCACUAGGAGCAGAGGGACCAGGGUUGAAGUCUAAUCCCAAUGAUUUCUUGUUUUUCUUGGCCGAAGCCACAGCGAACUGGAAGUUGCGGUUGAAGAGAGCAUCGUCACGACACCAGAGUAAUGAAGUGGGAUCGGUGUUCUCAGGCUGAGGUCCACGAACCAUGCAAGGAUAGAAGCCUUGAGCAAUAGCUUCAGCUCUGUUCUUGGGUUGAAGGCCUCGAUAGAGAAUGUCACCCCAAGGUCUCUUGAUAGCAUUCUUCUCUGCAUAUUCCUUGGUUACAAACUUGUACUUGAACCAUUCUUCAGCCCAAUAGCGUCGAAUCCAUUGGAUUCGUGUCUUGCGUUGAUGAUAUGUCUCUUCAGGAUCUGUCUUGUAGAGUUCUGCUAGGUCAUCAGGCAGAUCUUUGGAUGUUCCUUCUCUGCGCUGUUUUCCACCCUUCCUCGCUGAUUUUUCUGCAGCCAUGAACUUCAAACUGAAUGGCAUCAAUACGUUCAAAGGCUUCAGAGACUUACGCUUGCUGGUCAAGCAGGAACUGGCUUCAGGAGAAUUGAUAUGAUGUUGUAAGUAUUCUGCAAAUGAAUGCAGACUAUGAGAACCAAGGGAUUCUCCCACGGACAUGUACCUGUGACAGCAUUAGAGAUGCGAGGGAAGGGGAAGAGGUCAUAUGCAUUCUCAGAAGAUUUUGAAGAUAAAUCAGUUUGAAGACAUUGACCUCAUGAUGCGAAGACAUUCACUUAUAUAGGUGAGUUGGUUCCAGAUUUGUACCAAUCCGUGAAUAAGUACAAGUGAGGAAUCAAACUAGACAGGAAAUCUAGGUGAAUUGACCAGGCAGUAUGAGAUGCAGACAGAAUAGAUCUAACAUUGAAUAGGCAGAAACCACUUUCGGUAAACAGGAUGAAUCUUGAAGAUCAAAAUGGUGGUAAAAAGAGAGUUAUAAUUACCGCAUGAAGAACUGCUAGAUGGGAUGAAUAGGAGACCGAGCAGUUCAGCCCACCGUGCCCUAACUUGGCGAUGGAAGACACCUACGGCGACAGCGGAGAGGACGAUGUCCGCGGCUGGCGUGAGGACGGUGUCGGAGAAGUCGCGGCAGCUAAGCGCUUCGUCGCCGGCGUCGUCGAGAGCUAGCGGUGGCGCUAGGGUUUUGACGGAGGUGGAGAGGUGGAAGAAGGAUUUCUUUACCGCAGGGGACAAGUAUUUAUAAGUAGGUGAGUGGCACAGCGCAAUUACGUUGGUGCCCCUGGCGGUUCACAUCUGAGGGGCACGUGGCAAGCAUGCAACAUACUCAGAGUUGUCCCACGUUCCCAUGCCCACCAGGCAUGUCGGAGAGUUGUUCCGGCUUCUCCGGAUUUCAACAAUAAAGAUAAGUCAUUUAAAACAGAUUUAAUGUUUGUCUCUUUGCCUUCUGCUGACUAGGACGCAGAGAAGACAUUCGACAGUUUCAAUAGAAUGCAUAUGAUUUGGACAGAUAGAGUUUGAGAUAGAAAGCAUAGAGAGGUUAGGGUCCGAUCACAUUCACUUAGUUCAAAAGAUCCAAUCUUGAAGACAUAGCUAUAAGUGAAUGCUGUAGAGGACAGAACACUAGUGUAUAUAUAUAUAUAUAUCAGAAAGCAAUCAAAUCAUCAUAGUGUAGAAAGUCAUGAAGGUAAAUUGAAACUGAAGACAAACCAAAUGCGAAGUUAUUGCAAUAUAACACCAUGAGUGAAACACUUCAAACAGAGAAAUUUGGUGGUGGCGUUACCCACCGUAUAGGAAGUAUUAGACCCAGACACGGCGCACAAUUAUCGUGGCGCUCCGAAGUCAAAUUCCAUGUUAAUGUAUUCACACUCAGAGUGUAAAUCUUCAUUGAUUGAAGAUAUACAUUACUUUGUGUGUUGCACAUCUAAGUCAUCAACAUGCAUAAGUGUUAGGAUGUGUGCCUGAUCACAGGACAUUAGAGGAUUCCAAGAUAUUUAGCUCACACCGUAACUUGCAAAACCUUUUCUCAUCCAAGGGCUUUGUGAAGAUAUCUACAAGUUGCUCUUCAGUGUUGACGUGAAUGAUAUCGAUAUCUUUCUUCAUGACAUGAUCUCUGAGAAAGUGAUGACGAAUUUCAAUGUGCUUUGUCUUCGAGUGCUGGACUGGAUUGUUGGCUAUCUUGAUGGCACUUUCGUUGUCGCAGAAGAGAGGUACUUGUUUCAGGUUGAUGCCAUAGUCCUUGAGAGUUUGCUUCAUCCAUAUAAGCUGAGCACAACAGGAUCUAGCAGCAAUGUAUUCAGAUUCAGCAGUUGAGAGUGAUACACAAUUCUGCUUCUUUGAAGACCAACAGACAAGUGAUCGACCAAAUAAAUGACAUGUGCCUGAUGUAGACUUGCGAUCCACUUUGUCACCAGCAUAAUCUGCAUCCGAGAAUCCAACCAAAUCAAAUUUUGAGCCCUUGGGAUACCAUAAUCCGAGUGUUGGGGUGUAAGCCAAAUAUCGAAGAAUUCGCUUCACAACUAAGUGAUGCGAUUCCUUUGGUGCCCCUUGGAAUCAAGCACACAUGCAAACACUAAGCAUAAUAUCUGGCCUAGAUGCACAUAGAUAAAGUAAAGAACCAAUCAUGGAGCGAUAUACCUUUUGAUCAAACUCUUUACCAUUGUCGUCGGGACCAAGAUGGUGUUUGGCUGGCAUUGGCGUCGUGUAGCCUUUGCAGUCUUCCAUUCCAAACUUCUUCAGACAAUCUUUGAGGUAUUUUUCUUGAGAUAUGAAGAUGCCAUUCCUUUGCUGACGAAUUUGAAGACCAAGGAAGAACUUCAGCUCACCCAUCAUGGACAUCUGAUAUUGCUCUUGCAUCAUGUACCCAAACUCAUCAGUAUAUUUCUGGUUGGUGCAGCCGAAGAUUAUAUCAUCCACAUAUAUUUGGCACACAAACAGUUCACCAUCAUAUGUCUUCGUGAAGAGUGUGGGACCGAGGGAUCCUGGUUUGAAGCCUUUGCUCUUCAGGAAGUCUUUGAUCGUAUCAUACCAUGCACGAGGAGCUUGUUUGAGGCUAUACAGUGCUUUGUUUAGCUUGUACACCAUAUCAGGAUGUUUUGGAUCUUCAAAGCCAGGUGGUUGAGCGACAUAUACUUCUUCUUCAAUCUUGCCAUUGAGAAAUGCACUCUUCACAUCCAUUUGAUAUAGCAAUAUGUUGUGAUGAUUAGCAUAGGCUAACAGUAUGCGAAUAGCUUCAAGCCUAGCAACAGGAACAAAUGUUUCAUCGAAGUCAAUUCCUUCAACUUGAGUAUAUCCUUGAGCCACAAGACGUGCUUUGUUUCUGACGACUUGACCAUGCUCAUCUUGCUUGUUUCGAUAUAUCCAUUUUGUUCCAAUAAUGUUAUGCUUGCGAGGGUCAGGUCGCUUGACAAGUUCCCAAACAUUAUUCAGCUUGAACUGUUGAAGUUCUUCUUGCAUGGCUUGAAUCCAUUCAGGUUCCAUAAAAGCUUCAGCAACUUUCUUGGGUUCUGAUAUUGACACAAAUGAAAAGUGCCCACAGAAGUUUGCUAGCUGUGUUGCUCUUGAUCGAGUGAGUGGACUAGGCGCAUUGAUGCUAUCAAUUAUCUUCUCUAUUUGAACUUCAUUUGCAACACGAGGAUGAACAGGACGAAGACUUUGCUCUUGCUGAUCAUUGUCAUCAUUGGGAGGAUUGUCUUCGGUCUGAGCAUUGUCUUCAGGUUGAUUUGGUGCUGAGAUGAUAAGUUCCUCUUCAGGUUGUGCUUCAGAAGGCAUGAUUUCACCAGUUCCCAUCAGCUUGAUAGAUUCACUUGGAGAAGCUUCAUCUAGUGUACUUGGCAGGAGUUCUCUUUGUGAACCAUUAGUUUCAUCAAAUUUCACAUCCACAGUUUCGACGAUCUUAUAGAGAUAGAGGUUGAAGACUCUGUAGGAGUGUGAGUCCUUUCCAUAGCCAAGCAUGAAGCCUUCGUGAGCCUUAGGUGCAAAUUUUGACUUGUGAUGGGGAUCCUUGAUCCAGCAUCUAGCUCCAAAUACUCUGAAGUAACUGACGUUUGGCUUCUUGCCAGUAAGGAGCUCAUAGGAUGUUUUGUUCAAAAGCUUAUGGAUGUACACACGGUUGAUGAUAUGACAGGCUGUAUCAAUAGCUUCAGGCCAGAACUUUCUUGGUGUCUUGUAUUCAUCUAGCAUUGUUCGAGCCAUCUCAAUGAGGGUUCUGUUUUUGCGCUCAACGAUGCCAUUUUGCUGAGGUGUGUAUGGAGCAGAGAACUCAUGAGUGAUUCCCAUUGUAUCCAGAUAAAGAUCAAGUCAUGUGUUCUUGAAUACAGUGCCAUUGUCACUUCUGAUAUGCUUGAUCUUCAUGCCAUAAUUGUUCAUUGCUCGAUUAGCGAAGCGCCUGAAGACAUCUUGCACUUCAGUCUUGUAAAGAAUUAUAUGAACCCAUGUGUAUCUUGAGUAGUCAUCAACAAUGACAAAGACAUAGAGACAGGCAGUUGUUGUGAGGGUGGAGUAGUGAGUAGGUCCAAAUAAGUCCAUGUGUAACAGCUCGAAGGGUUGAGAUGUUGUCAUGAUUGUCUUCGAGGGGUGCUUUGCCCUUCUCAUCUUUCCAGCUUCACAGGCACCACACAGAUGAUACUUCUUGAACUUGACAUCCUCGAUGCCAAUGACAUGCUUCUUCUUGACGAGCGAGUGUAAGUUCCUCAUGCCAGCAUGUCCUAGCCUUUGAUGCCAGAGCAAACAUUCUGAAGCUUUUGUGAGAAGACAUACGGCAAGCUGUGGACCUGCUGAGAAAUCUACCAUGUAUAGAUCAUCUUUUCGAUACCCUUCAAAGACUAGAGACUUGUCAGAUUCCAUUAGUACAAGGCAAUGAUAUUUUCCGAAUAUCACAAUCAUGUUCAAGUCACAAAGCAUUGAGACAGACAUUAAGUUGAAGCCAAGGGAUUCAACAAGCAUCACUUUAUCCAUGUGUUGAUCCUUUGAGAUUGCAACUCUACCUAGACCCAAUACCUUGCUUUUACCAGUGUCAGCAAAUGUGAUGUGACUCUUGUCGGAUGGACGUAAGGUCGAGUCCAUCAGAAGACUUCGAUCACCAGUCAUAUGAUUAGUGCAUCCACUGUCCAUAAUCCAUUCUGAAGCUUUUGGUGAUGUACCCUACAGUGCAGUUAGGAGGAUAGGCUUCACAAGAGUGUUGUGAAGCAUAAGCAUUUGACACAUAUAGGGAUUGUCACAGCUUAUAUCAAAGUUAGGACAUAUAGUAUGACUGAUAAGCGAUUCAGAUGUGAAGAAUAUAGAAUGACAUUUUAUCAUGCGUCCUAAAUGUGUUUUAGGUCCCCAGCAAUAGUAUCGGACGCCAUUGAUUGCUGGCUGGAGACCGUAUUCUGCAAAGAGAGUUAGUUCUUCUUUGCCACCCACAUCUUCAGGGGUGGCUUAGAAGCAAUGAGUCUAAGUGCAGCAUCUGAGAAUUUUGGCUUUGGAGCCCUAGCAAAUAGCCUUGCAGGAGAUGAAUGAUACUGAUAUGAAUAAGCAGAAAAGUUCUUAGUCCUAUGAACAUAGCGGUUCGAAGAUACACGCUCAUAUUCAUAAGUCUGAGCAUGAUUUCCCUGCAAAACAUUGGCAUUAGGGUGACUCAUGUGAGUCCUGUAUCUGUAUGAAGCCUUUGGGCCAUAUGAAGCUAUAGGUCUGGGGUUUGUCUUCUUCCUUGGUGGUGUCAUGACGACAUUCACAGGAAGAUUCUCAAUGUACUGCUUAGGUACCCAGAUCUUCUUCAUAGGUGGUCCAUUCCUGCAGUUAGUACCAAUGUACCUGGCAAACACUUCACCAUUCUGAUUCUUGAACAGCUUAUAGUUUGCAUCAAAGGAUUCAUCAAUGAUAAUAGGAUUAGCACAGGUAAAGCCAGAUAAAGUGGAUGGAUCUACUGAAGGUUCCUUUGCAGCAACCCAUGUGGUUUUGGGGUACUGCUCAGGCCUCCAGUACGAGCCAUCAACAUUCAUUUUCCUCUCGAACCCAACACCUUCUUUCCUAGGGUUUCAGUUCAGAAUCUGCUUUUUGAGAACAUCGCAGAGUGUCUGAUGUCCCUUCAAACUUUUGUACAUCCCUGUUUCAAGCAAUGUCUUCAACAUAGCAUUUUCAUCAGCAAUAGCAGUGGUAUCCUCCGCAGAGGGGUUAGUAACCACGUCAGUAGGUGAAGACAAUGAAACAUUAGCAGCAGUGGAACAUUCAGCAACAGAUGUAGCGUUAUCACGCUCAAUGCAUUUUAGACAUGGUGGUUCAAAUCCAUUCUGAGCAGGACUGAUCUGUUGAGCGCGAAGUGACUCAUUCACUUUUUGAAGAUCUUCAUGAGCCGCUCUCAAUUUCUCAAGCUCUUGUUUCCUUUGAAGACAAUCAUAGGAGAGCCUUUCAUAAGUAGUUGAGAGCGUUUCAUGACGACCUUCAAGUUCUUGGUACUUAGCAUGAAGAUUUUUUAUGUCAUCAACUAAGGACUGUGAACGCGUCAUUUCCGCGUCCAACAGGUCAUCGCUUUUGUCUAACAGUUUUUGAGUAUGUUCCAUAGCCUUUUGUUGUUCAGUUGCAAUUUUAGCAAGCAUUUUGUAGCUUGGUUUGGAUUAACAAUCAGAGUCAUCUUCACUUGAUGUUUGAAAGUAAGCAUCACGUGAUUUUACCUUGGCACCGGGUGCCAUGAAGCAGUAGGUGGGAGUAGGAUCAUCUUCGACAUCAGCUUCAGCGUUGGUGUGGAAAUCAUUAUCUUCAGUGUUGAAGAUGGACUUGGCAACAUAGGCUGUGGCUAGAGCCAGACUUGCUACGCCAGGGUCAGAUUCCUCUCCAGACUCCACCUCCACCUCCUCAAAAGCAGACUCCUCCUCUGAAUCCAUUUCCUUGCCAACAAAAGCACGAGCCUUGCCAGAUGAGCUCUUCUUGUAUGAUGAAGACUUGGAAGAAGACUUAGAAGAAGACUUAGAGGAAUUCUUCUUCUUCUUGUCAUCAGAAUCAUAUUCCUUGCUCUUCUUCUUCUUCUUCUCAUUAUCCCACUGUGGACACUCGGAUAUGUAGUGACCAGGUUUCUUGUACUUUUGGCAGGUUCUCUUCUUGUGGUCAUGGGUGGAAGCUCCAUCAUUCCUUGAGCUAGAUCGUGAAGACUUUCUGAAGCCUUUCUUCUUGGUGAAUUUCUGAAACUUCUUCACUAGCAUCGCAAGCUCUUUUCCAAUGUCUUCAGGAUCUUCAGAACUGCAGUCAGAUUCUUCUUCAGAUGAGGAAACAACUUUUGCCUUCAAAGCACGAGUUCGGCCAUAGUUUGGGCCAUAGAUAUCUCUUUUCUCAGAAAGCUGGAACUCAUGUGUGUUGAGCCUCUCAAGUAUAUCAGACGGAUUGAGUGACUUGAAGUCAGGACGUUCUUGUAUCAUGAGGGAAAGGGUGUCAAAGGAGCUGUCGAGCGAUCUCAGUAGUGUCUUGAUGAUUUCAUGCUUGGUAAUCUCAGUCGUGCCAAGAGCUUGAAGUUCAUUUGUGAUAUCAGUGAGGCGAUCGAACGUGAGCUGGACAUUUUCAUUGUCGUUUCUCUUGAAUCGGUUGAAGAGGUUGCGAAGAACACUGAUUCUUUGAUCUCUCUGGGUUGAUACGCCUUCGUUGACCUUGGAUAGCCAGUCCCAGACUAGCUUUGAAGUUCUAGAGCACUCACACGACCAUACUGUCCUUUGGUCAGAUGACCACAGAUAAUGUUCUUGGCAGUAGAGUCUAGUUGAAUGAACUUCUUGACAUCAGCAGGGGUGACACCUUCACCAGUUUUGGGAACGCCGUUCUUGAUGACAUACCAGAGGUCGACAUCAAUGGCUUCAAGAUGCAUACGCAUCUUAUUCUUCCAGUAGGGAUAUUCAGUUCCAUCAAAAACGGGGCAAGCAGCGGAGACUUUGAUUAUCCCUGCAGUCGACAUAGCUAAACUCCAGGUGGUUAAACCGAAUCACACAGAACAAGGGAGUACCUUUCUCUGAUACCAAUUGAAAGUGCUAGUAUCGACUAGAGGGGGGGGGGGUGAAUAGGCGAUUUUUAUGAAAGUCUUCAAAACUUAGAAGUUUCGAAGACAAACAACAGAAAUGACCUAGUUGAUAUGCAGCGGAAGAUAAACUACCAUAAGCAAGCCAUAGUCAAGUAUGCAAUGAUGUGGAAGUACAGGACUAAUAGCAGCUAAGUAGUAAGGAUCAGGAUGGAAGAUAGUAUGAAGCCAAUCAAUAGUAGUAGUCAACCAAUGAAGUCAAACAGAUACACAGAUAGGCAAUGACUUCACGAAGACAAACUUAAGUAAAGGAUGGAAAGGGAUAGAACCAGUUGCUUAUUGAAGACACAUGAUUUGUUGGACCAGUUCCAGUUGCUGUGACAACUGUACGUCUGGUUAGGGAGGCUGAGAUUUAACUCAGAAGACCGUGUCUUCACCUUAUUCCCCUUGAGCUAAGGACACCCAGUCCUCGCCCAAUCACUCUGGUAAGUCUUCAAGGUAGACUUCUAAACCUUCACAGACUUCGUUCACCGGCAAUCCACAAUGACUCUUGGAUGCUCAGAACGUGACGCCUAACCGGCUGGAGGAUUCACAGUCCUCAAGUGUAAUAAGUCUUCAGGUCACACAGACAAAAAGACUUCAGUGAUGCCUAACACUCUUUGGCUCUGGGUGUUUGGGCUUUGUCCUCGCAUGGAUUUCUCUCUCUUAAAUGCUUCAAGGUGGGUUGCUCUCAAACGACAAAAGCCGUGCACAAACUCUGAGCAGCCACCAAUUUAUGGUGUAGGGGGUGGGCUAUUUAUAGCCACAAGGCAACCCGACCUGAUUUGUCCAAAAUGACCCUGGGUCACUAAGGAACUGACACGUGUUCCAACGGUCAGAUUUCAAACACACGCGACAACUUUACUUGGGCUACAAGCAAAGCUGACUCAUCCAGCUCUGGAUAAGAUUUGCU